rnacentral:rRNA from 1 species
GAGUUUGAUCUUGGCUCAGAUUGAACGCUGGCGGCAUGCCUUACACAUGCAAGUCGAACGGCAGCACGGGAGCUUGCUCCUGGUGGCGAGUGGCGAACGGGUGAGUAAUGCAUCGGAACGUAUCCUGGAGUGGGGGAUAACGUAGCGAAAGUUACGCUAAUACCGCAUAUUCUGUGAGCAGGAAAGCGGGGGACCUUCGGGCCUCGCGCUCUUGGAGCGGCCGAUGUCGGAUUAGCUAGUUGGUGAGGUAAAGGCUCACCAAGGCGACGAUCCAUAGCAGGUCUGAGAGGAUGAUCUGCCACACUGGAACUGAGACACGGUCCAGACUCCUACGGGAGGCAGCAGUGGGGAAUUUUGGACAAUGGGGGCAACCCUGAUCCAGCCAUGCCGCGUGAGUGAAGAAGGCC